UAACCCUGAGGCGUGAUAACGAGCCACUACGGUGGUGAAGUAGCUGAUGCCAUGCUUCCAGGAAAAGCCUCUAAGCUCCAGGUAACACGAAAUCGUACCCCAAACCGACACAGGUGGUCAGGUAGAGAAUACUCAGGCGCUUGAGAGAACUCGGGUGAAGGAACUAGGCAAAAUGGUGCCGUAACUUCGGGAGAAGGCACGCUGGCGCGUAGGUGAAGGGACUUGCUCCCGGAGCUGAAGCCAGUCGAAGAUACCAGCUGGCUGCAACUGUUUAAUAAAAACACAGCACUGUGCAAACACGAAAGUGGACGUAUACGGUGUGACGCCUGCCCGGUGCCGGAAGGUUAAUUGAUGGGGUCAGCCGUAAGGCGAAGCUCUUGAUCGAAGCCCCGGUAAACGGCGGCCGUAACUAUAACGGUCCUAAGGUAGCGAAAUUCCUUGUCGGGUAAGUUCCGACCUGCACGAAUGGCGUAAUGAUGGCCAGGCUGUCUCCACCCGAGACUCAGUGAAAUUGAACUCGCUGUGAAGAUGCAGUGUACCCGCGGCAAGACGGAAAGACCCCGUGAACCUUUACUAUAGCUUGACACUGAACAUUGAGCCUUGAUGUGUAGGAUAGGUGGGAGGCUUUGAAGCGUGGACGCCAGUCUGCGUGGAGCCAACCUUGAAAUACCACCCUUUAAUGUUUGAUGUUCUAACUCGGCCCCAUUAUCUGGGGUGAGGACAGUGUCUGGUGGGUAGUUUGACUGGGGCGGUCUCCUCCUAAAGAGUAACGGAGGAGCACGAAGGUUAGCUAAUCACGGUCGGACAUCGUGAGGUUAGUGCAAUGGCAUAAGCUAGCUUGACUGCGAGAGUGACGGCUCGAGCAGGUACGAAAGUAGGUCAUAGUGAUCCGGUGGUUCUGAAUGGAAGGGCCAUCGCUCAACGGAUAAAAGGUACUCCGGGGAUAACAGGCUGAUACCGCCCAAGAGUUCAUAUCGACGGCGGUGUUUGGCACCUCGAUGUCGGCUCAUCACAUCCUGGGGCUGAAGUAGGUCCCAAGGGUAUGGCUGUUCGCCAUUUAAAGUGGUACGCGAGCUGGGUUUAGAACGUCGUGAGACAGUUCGGUCCCUAUCUGCCGUGGGCGUUGGAAGAUUGAGAGGGGCUGCUCCUAGUACGAGAGGACCGGAGUGGACGCAUCACUGGUGUUCGGGUUGUCAUGCCAAUGGCAUUGCCCGGUAGCUAAAUGCGGAAAAGAUAAGCGCUGAAAGCAUCUAAGCGCGAAACUUGCCUCGAGAUGAGUCUUCCCUGUGGCUUUAAGCCACCUGAAGGGACGUUUAAGACUAAGACGUUGAUAGGCUGGGUGUGUAAGUGCAGCGAUGCAUUGAGCUAACCAGUACUAAUGACCCGAGAGGCUUAACCUU
rnacentral:rRNA from 1 species